UUUUGUGGGGUGCUCGAGUGGCGAACGGGUGAGUAACACGUGGGUAACCUGCCCUUGACUUUGGGAUAACUUCAGGAAACUGGGGCUAAUACCGGAUAGGAGCUCCUGCUGCAUGGUGGGGGUUGGAAAGUUUCGGCGGUUGGGGAUGGACUCGCGGCUUAUCAGCUUGUUGGUGGGGUAGUGGCUUACCAAGGCUUUGACGGGUAGCCGGCCUGAGAGGGUGACCGGCCACAUUGGGACUGAGAUACGGCCCAG
rnacentral:rRNA from 1 species